rnacentral:rRNA from 1 species
CAGCCGCCGCGGGAAUACGAAGGGGGCUAGCGUUGUUCGGAAUUACUGGGCGUAAAGCGCACGUAGGCGGUUAUUUAAGUCAGGGGUGAAAUCCCAGAGCUCAACUCUGGAACUGCCUUUGAUACUGGGUAUCUUGAGUAUGGAAGAGGUGAGUGGAAUUCCGAGUGUAGAGGUGAAAUUCGUAGAUAUUCGGAGGAACACCAGUGGCGAAGGCGGCUCACUGGUCCAUUACUGACGCUGAGGUGCGAAAGCGUGGGGAGCAAACAGGAUUAGAUACCCGCGUAGUCCCUGUCUCUUAUAC